GUCUGGCAGUGCCUGAAGCCUUGCUCCGUGGCACAUGGAAAAUUCCAACCUGCAGUGGUAGAGAAUGAGGACAUACGCAGUGAGGAGUGAUGGAGGGAGAGAAGGAUAGUCUUGAUGGUAACAGCUGAGUCUCUCCUUUGAGUUAUCCCUGAGGUGGUCUCUGACGUUGCUUAAGACCCAGGAAACAUGCCCCUUGGCUGGUCUACAACAUUUCAUAGAAUAAAAA